rnacentral:rRNA from 1 species
GACGAACGCUGGCGGCGUGCUUAACACAUGCAAGUCGAACGGAAAGGCCCCUUUGGGGGUACUCGAGUGGCGAACGGGUGAGUAACACGUGAGUAACCUGCCCUUGACUUCGGGAUAACUUCAGGAAACUGGGACUAAUACCGGAUAGGAAUCCUUGCUGCAUGGUGGGGGUUGGAAAGCUUCGGCGGUUUUGGAUGGACUCGCGGCUUAUCAGCUUGUUGGUGGGGUAGUGGCUUACCAAGGCUUUGACGGGUAGCCGGCCUGAGAGGGCGACCGGCCACAUUGGGACUGAGAUACGGCCCAGACUCCUACGGGAGGCAGCAGUGGGGAAUAUUGCACAAUGGGCGGAAGCCUGAUGCAGCAACGCCGCGUGCGGGAUGACGGCCUUCGGGUUGUAAACCGCUUUCAGCAGGGGCGAAGCUUGUGGUGACGGUACCUGCAGAAGAAGCACCGGCUAACUACGUG